AAACGAUAUUGAAGAGAAAUGUCAAGAGCUUGAGGCGUCCUUGCCCAAGGUAGUGUUUGUGUAUACUUAUCAAUUGAUUGAGUUUGUUUUAAAAUCUUAAUUUCGUGUUUCUGUCAGUUUAAUGGACCGUGGGGAAAGCUUCUGAAAGCAGGAUCUAAAAAAUCUUUGUUCGCUGAUGAGGUCGAAAGGAACUCCUAUCUUUACACAAGCAGUGCAACAAAUCUGGUGUAUUACUCUCUUGAAAAGAGUUUUGAUAUUAUUGAAGAAUUUAUGCAACAUGAGUUAGAUUAGACCAUUAAUCUGAGUAACGUGUUUGUUAAAUUGUAGUACAACUUCGGUAUUACUAGCAUGAUGCUAACUGAGAAGUGGUGACUUGAAAGUCUAGAAGUGGUGACUUCUAACUGUUAGGCUAGAUGCAAUCACCUGUCAAAUAGUUGAACUUAAAUUCAAGUUGUGUACUGUUUUGCA